rfam:Stegodyphus mimosarum contig83513, whole genome shotgun sequence.
GCCUUCGUGGUGUAAUGGUCAGCCCACUGAGCCGGUAUUUCAGAGGUCCGUGGUUCGAUUCCCGGCGAAGGCU